rnacentral:rRNA from 1 species
UACAGAGGGGGCAAGCGUUGUUCGGAAUUACUGGGCGUAAAGGGCGCGUAGGCGGCCUUCUAAGUCGAACGUGAAAUCCCCAGGCUCAACCUGGGAACUGCGUCCGAUACUGGAUGGCUUGAAUUCGGGAGAGGGAUGCAGAAUUCCAGGUGUAGCGGUGAAAUGCGUAGAGAUCAGGAAGAACACCAGUGGCGAAGGCGCUCUGCUAGGCCGUAACUGACACUGAGGGACGAAAGCUAGGGGAGCGAAUGGG